rnacentral:rRNA from 1 species
UCCUUUAUGAAAAUACUAAAGGUAGAGCCUGCUCAGUGAUGUAAAAAAUAAACAGCCGCGGUAUUUUAACUGCGCGAAGGUAGCAUAAUUAAUUGUCUUUUAAUUGGUGACUUGUUUGAACGGCUUAAUGAGGGUUAAACUUUUUUUAUCCUCAACCGAACUUAUUCUCUUGGGUUAAAAAACCUAGAUUGGUAAAAAAGAAGAGAAGACCCUGAUGAGUUUUACAACUAAAAAGUUGUUUGAAUGGGGCCUUACAAUUUUUUGUAUAUUUGUAUUAGAUCCUACCUUGAGGAAUAAGGGAUAAAUUACCACAGGGAUAACAGGACAAAAUUUGCUAAGAGUACGUAUCUAAGCAAGGAACUGUUACCUCGAUGUUGAAUCAAAGUGAACUUUUAGGCGCAGAAGUUUUUGGAGUGGGUCUGUUCGACCUUUAAAACUUUACG